UUUUGGGUAGUCUUUUACGUGAUGUCCGCGAAUGUAGCGUUAACAUCCACACCUUACCAGCUGAUAAUUAUAAGAAACAGCUGUGCUUCACGACUACACGGAGGCAUUUGGCAUUCUUUUUUCCCCAUCCAAGGUGGCCAAGAGUGUUAGGCGGCUAAGCACUGCAGCGCGGGUUCAUUUCUUCAGGAAAGCUGCUCAUUUUAGCAUUGCCCUUUAGAGAGUGGAUCGUGCCACACUGCUGCUGUCUUGUUGUAACCUUGUUAUUUUACAAUCAUUUAUGGACUGGCCUUGACUGGCUCCUCGUUUUAUGGUCUUUUUUUUUACUCUGAAUUGUUUGUUAUAUUUUAAUCAUGCUUUCAUAAAGAAUUGUAUCUGGGUGUAUUCGUUCUUGUUUCGUUUAUAUCUCUUUUACUGACUUGGAUGUUUUUAUAUGUUUUGUUUUUUUGCUUUAGUGGAGGUAUGGCCGCUUGUUGCGGGGCUAGGCACGAGGUAGAAUCCCCCCCUGAUGCAUGAGAGUGUACACACUGGGGAAAUGGGUAGAUUUAGAUUGCAGUGAGAGUGACAGUGAGGUUUGCAGUGAAACUACACGAGUGAGUAAUUGGUGGCACCCUUGGGCACUCCUCUCUGUAGGUUGCCUCCUCAAGUGUCCGGUCUCCACAAUUUUGUUUAGUUAUUUUACCAAGCUGCUAUUUUAACUCGGGCAGCACUGUGGCAGCCAGCCUUGUCUUUUUAAUUAAUGUUUGUUGAUAGUGUUUUAAUUAAUGGUCCCGCAUUGUCAGCCCUGCUACCUUAAGAAGUUCUCUGAUUUUAUAGCUCUAUGCUUUUAGUAAUUUUUCCUAAUAAAUUUUGAUUUGGAAAAUUGACCUACCUCACCUCAAUUUGCUAAUUACGAGCCUGUGGGCCUUUGUGACUAGUAUAACAUUUGCAUUGGCUAUAGAAAUCUCUCCUGGGGUGUUUCCCUCCCCAGGUGGUGUUGUCAACAUCCUUUAGUCACCUUUACUAGUUAUUCUUCUUCCUGCCACCACAUUAACAAACAUUCAUGGCACUGGCUGCUUGAGCAACAGAAAAUAUUACGCUUCCUCUUCACUUGGAGGGCACCUGUUUAUUAGUGCAAACAGCCUAGCCUGUAAGACAAUUUACCUCAGCCCUCAGGACGCAGUAACGCAGUGUGAAAGCUUGGCGCUAAACAGGCACUACAUUUUUUUAAAUUUUUUUUUAUUCUGCAUUUUUAUUUUUUUAUUUUUUUUAAUUCAAACUACAUACUUUUGAAAAGCCAUCCAAAAAAAUAAAAAAAAAUAAAUUCAAUUAUUCAAAUCAACCGUCACUGACUUAUACCGUUUGUAACAAUAUAAAAAGCAUACAAAUUGUCCUUAAAAAGUCUUCAACAGAGCACAAUCACAAGUCAUUUUAAUUGACAUGUCAUAGUAAUUGUAUUAUAAUCAUAAAAACGUUUUCCAAAGUAAAACUACUCAACACAAACCUUGUUGAAAUAGCUCUUAAUUACACUUUUGUUCGAUCUUCAUAUCUACUUAAAAUGCAAACAUUCUGUUAAGUAACUGUGGGAUUUAUUGAUAUAUGAUGCCAA